GACGAACGCUGGCGGCGUGCUUAACACAUGCAAGUCGAACGGGUCUGCCCUGUUUUUUGCGGGGUGGGUCAGUGGCGGACGGGUGAGUAACACGUGAGUAACCUGCCCCCCACUUCUGGAUAACCGCUUGAAAGGGUGGCUAAUACGGGGUGUUCUGGCUGUGCCGCAUGGUGUGGCUGGGAAAGAUUCACUUUUGUGGUGUUUUGGUGGGGGAUGGGCUCGCGGCCUAUCAGCUUGUUGGUGGGGUGAUGGCCUGCCAAGGCUUUGACGGGUAGCCGGCCUGAGAGGGUGGGCGGUCACACUGGGACUGAGGUACGGCCCAGACUCCUGCGGGAGGCAGCAGUGGGGGGUAUUGCACAAUGGGCGGAAGCCUGAUGCAGCGACGUCGCGUGAGGGAUGGAGGCCUUCGGGUUGUGAACCUCUUUCGCCGGUGAAGAAGGUCCUGCUCUUUGGGGUGGGGUUGACGGUAGCCGGGUUAUGAAGCGCCGGCUAACUACGUG
rnacentral:rRNA from 1 species